rnacentral:rRNA from 1 species
UACGUAGGGGGCAAGCGUUGUCCGGAUUUAUUGGGCGUAAAGAGCGUGUAGGCGGCCUGAAAGGUCAGCUGUGAAAACUCGAGGCUUAACCUCGAGACGUCGGUUGAAACCAUCUGGCUAGAGUCCGGAAGAGGAGUGUGGAAUUCCCGGUGUAGCGGUGAAAUGCGCAGAUAUCGGGAAGAACACCCGUGGCGAAGGCAGCAAACUGGUCAUCAACUGACGCUGAGGCGCGAAAGCGUGGGUAGCAAACAGG